rnacentral:rRNA from 1 species
AUUGAACGCUGGCGGCAUGCCUUACACAUGCAAGUCGAACGGCAGCACGGGUGCUUGCACCUGGUGGCGAGUGGCGAACGGGUGAGUAAUACAUCGGAACAUGUCCUGUAGUGGGGGAUAGCCCGGCGAAAGCCGGAUUAAUACCGCAUACGAUCCACGGAUGAAAGCGGGGGACCUUCGGGCCUCGCGCUAUAGGGUGGCCGAUGGCUGAUUAGCUAGUUGGUGGGGUAAAGGCCUACCAAGGCGACGAUCAGUAGCUGGUCUGAGAGGACGACCAGCCACACUGGGACUGAGACACGGCCCAGACUCCUACGGGGGGCAGCAGUGGGGAAUUUUGGACAAUGGGCGAAAGCCUGAUCCAGCAAUGCCGCGUGUGUGAAGAAGGCCUUCGGGUUGUAAAGCACUUUUGUCCGGAAAGAAAUCCUUGACUCUAAUACAGUCGGGGGAUGACGGUACCGGAAGAAUAAGCACCGGCUAACUACGUG